UUUGGACGAGGGGCCCCUCUCGGGUUACCGAAUUCAGACAAACUCCGAAUGCCAAUUAAUUUAACUUGGGAGUCAGAACAUGGGUGAUAAGGUCCGUGUUCGAAAGGGAAACAGCCCAGACCACCAGCUAAGGUCCCAAAAUAUAUGUUAAGUGGAAAAGGAUGUGGCGUUGCCCAGACAACUAGGAUGUUGGCUUAGAAGCAGCCAUCAUUUAAAGAGUGCGUAAUAGCUCACUAGUCGAGUGACACUGCGCCGAAAAUGUACCGGGGCUAAACAUAUUACCGAAGCUGUGGAUUGUCCUUUGGACAAUGGUAGGAGAGCGUUCUAAGGGCGUUGAAGCAUGAUCGUAAGGACAUGUGGAGCGCUUAGAAGUGAGAAUGCCGGUGUGAGUAGCGAAAGACGGGUGAGAAUCCCGUCCACCGAUUGACUAAGGUUUCCAGAGGAAGGCUCGUCCGCUCUGGGUUAGUCGGGUCCUAAGCUGAGGCCGACAGGCGUAGGCGAUGGAUAACAGGUUGAUAUUCCUGUACCACCUAUAAUCGUUUUAAUCGAUGGGGGGACGCAGUAGGAUAGGCGAAGCGUGCGAUUGGAUUGCACGUCUAAGCAGUAAGGCUGAGUAUUAGGCAAAUCCGGUACUCGUUAAGGCUGAGCUGUGAUGGGGAGAAGACAUUGUGUCUUCGAGUCGUUGAUUUCACACUGCCGAGAAAAGCCUCUAGAUAGAAAAUAGGUGCCCGUACCGCAAACCGACACAGGUAGUCAAGAUGAGAAUUCUAAGGUGAGCGAGCGAACUCUCGUUAAGGAACUCGGCAAAAUGACCCCGUAACUUCGGGAGAAGGGGUGCUCUUUAGGGUUAACGCCCAGAAGAGCCGCAGUGAAUAGGCCCAAGCGACUGUUUAUCAAAAACACAGGUCUCUGCUAAACCGUAAGGUGAUGUAUAGGGGCUGACGCCUGCCCGGUGCUGGAAGGUUAAGAGGAGUGGUUAGCUUCUGCGAAGCUACGAAUCGAAGCCCCAGUAAACGGCGGCCGUAACUAUAACGGUCCUAAGGUAGCGAAAUUCCUUGUCGGGUAAGUUCCGACCCGCACGAAAGGCGUAACGAUUUGGGCACUGUCUCAACGAGAGACUCGGUGAAAUCAUAGUACCUGUGAAGAUGCAGGUUACCCGCGACAGGACGGAAAGACCCCGUGGAGCUUUACUGUAGCCUGAUAUUGAAAUUCGGCACAGCUUGUACAGGAUAGGUAGGAGCCUUUGAAACGUGAGCGCUAGCUUACGUGGAGGCGCUGGUGGG
rnacentral:rRNA from 1 species